rnacentral:rRNA from 1 species
CUGGCGGCGUGCUUUAUGCAUGCAAGUCGAACGGUCUUGAUUUAUCAAGGUAGUGGCGAACGGGUGAGUAACACGUAAGUAACCUGCCCUAAAGUGGAGAAGUAAACUUCGGGAAACUGAGGCUAAUACUGCAUGUGAUGGCAGAGGUAGAGCUUUGUCAUUAAAGCCUUCGGGCGCUUUUGGAGGGGCUUGCGUUCGAUUAGCUAGUUGGUAGGGUAACGGCCUACCAAGGCGACGAUCGAUAGCUGGUCUGAGAGGAUGAUCAGCCACACUGGGACUGAGACACGGCCCAGACUCCUACGGGAGGCAGCAGCAAGGAAUUUUGUGCAAUGGGCGAAAGCCUGAACCACAGCAACGCCGCGUGAGGGAUGACGGCCUUCGGGUUGUAAACCUCUUUUCUCAGGGAAGAAUAAUGACGGUACCUGAGGAAUAAGCUUCGGCUAACUACGUGCCAGCAGCCGC